rnacentral:ribozyme from 1 species
GGUGCGAAGGGCGUCGUCGCCCCGAGCGCC